AUUGCAGAUAUUCGUGAAUCAUCGAAUCUUUGAACGCACAUUGCGCCCUCUGGUAUUCCGGAGGGCAUGCCUGUUUGAGCGUCGUUUC
rnacentral:rRNA from 1 species